GACGAACGCUGGCGGCGUGCUUAACACAUGCAAGUCGAACGGAAAGGCCCUGCUUUUGUGGGGUUCUCGAGUGGCGAACGGGUGAGUAACACGUGAGUAACCUGCCCCUGACUGUGUGAUAACUUCAGGAAACUGGGGCUAAUACCGCAUAGGAGCUCCUGCUGCAUGGUGGGCGUUGGAAAGUUUCGGCGGUGGGGGAUGGACUCGCGGCUUACGAGCUUGUUGGUGGAGUAGUGGCUUACCAAGGCUUUGACGGGUAGCCGGCAUGGGAGGGUUAACGGGGACAAUAGGACUGAGGUACGGACCAGUAGCGUACGGGAGGCAGAGGUGGAGAGUAUUGCACAAUGAGGGGAAGCGUGAUGCGGCAGUGCCGCGUGCGGGAUGCCGGCCUUCGGGUUGUGAACCGCUGUGGCAUGUGACGAAGCGUGAGUGACGGUAAUGGGUAAAAAAGCACCGGCUAACUACGUG
rnacentral:rRNA from 1 species